rnacentral:lncRNA from 1 species
AGUUUCACCGAAUUCUUAAUGGUCAGUAAUUCUUUAAAAAAUUCAUUAUUUACAGUUAUUAUUUAGAACUAUUCUAACCUUGUUACAAGACUAUUGUAGGGCAUGCUAUUAUGAACACUGAACUUUUGAUUUAAAUAAUUUAUUGCUUGUUUCAAUGAUUGCCAGACCCCUAUUGUGGCCUCUGUGGAAAGGUCAAAGAACAGUAUUCUCAUGCAAUUAAGCGACGAAGAAGUGCAACUACCUACGAUAUAAUUGGGUAGAAGCUAAUUGCCUUCCAUGAAUAUGUAUGCUAAGCUGAUGUAUCUUGUGACCCUUUUGGAACUGGAUUGGAACAAUGUAAUACUAAAAUGAUUGUUUUACUUUUAUAUUAGAUAGCAGUUUGAGAAUUGCAAUCAAUGCAGAAUAGUUUUACACCUUUUACUUCUAUUCAAUUGAUUACAAGAAGUUAUAUAUUCAUCGUGGUGUCCCAACCCUGUCUGACGCAAACAAAAAAUGAAGCAUGUCCCAAUAGUAAUGAACUUUGCUCCCAACACAAAAUUCUAUAUGUCCCACUAGUAGUAAAAACUUCAUAACUAAUGAACUUGCUCCCAACAGUAAUCCCAAAAGGAGAUAAUUCUACACGACACAAGUGCAAAAUUCUACACAACACAACUCAUAAAUUACUAAAUAUUUGUCAAUCAUUUAUUACAACUGGUUUUUUCGUCGGGGAGGGAUAUUUAACAACUCAAGGAUGGAUUCGGCCCAUUCGUUAUGCUCGGCUGCAACCAACAAAGACACAUAUUGCACUCGAUACUUCCACAUGUUAUCCUAUCAAGCAUUGAAAUAAUCAGCACCACAUGUUAUACAUUAGUCAUCAUAAAAAUAAUUGCUACCAAAAAAUUUCUAUAAAUCAAAAUAAUAUAUAUACCUCCGUAAUGCGUAUGCCUAAUCUUCCAUUCCAGUGCUCCAGAAAUUUUAUUACGAACACACCACAAUCAUAGCUGAAACACCAGGUAUACAUUGUGGUGACAACCAGAUUGUAGGACAUACAAGUUUUACCUUACCAUCCUAAUAAUAUAACUUAGUAUUUAGUUAUAUUUCAAGAUAGAAUAUAAAUAAACUCUUAUUUACAGGACAUAUACCUAUUGUGUAGAGACUGUUGAGGCACAUCUGCGACUUGCAAUACAAAUCUCUCGAAAUCCACCAACUUAUCAAAUUGUUUUGCCAUUAUUAAGCCCAAGGUUCGCAUAUGCAACAUAAAAAUAUACUUUUCCUUAUUACACUUUCUCACUAGUUAUAUAAUUUAAAGCCAUGAAAUAGAUGCAUUAAAAAUUCAAGGUAUAAAUAGUGUUUAGAUUUCACCAGUCGUCGUAAGAUGUUAGUCUGUCGAACCCGUGAUGAAUCAACUCGUGAGUCAAGGAGAUGAACAAUGCUUUGUGCAAUAUCAAAUGAGUACACAAACCAGUGACUUUUGUUCACCACCGGAACCAGUAUCUGAAAAUAUAAUGUGUUAGACUUUACAAAUGCAACAUAUUUGAUAUAAAAUAAAAGGUAUUUGAUCCAGCAGUUAUAAGAGAUUGAUCACCAAAUCGGCAUUUGCUAGACUUGACGCAUUAUCUGCUCUUAUUUUGAACCACUUGUUCAGUUUCGAAUAUAGGACAUCAUCAGACUUUUUCUCAAAUCGGUCUACACCUUGAAUGGCAGCCUGCCCAACAAAUCAAUGAAAUUGGAUCGAAAGUCAUACAAUAGUUAGAAAUUGCACGAGCAAUUUAUACUAUUUAAUAAACAUUGGAAUCAAAUUUUCUAAUAAACUAACAAUAAGUGAAACUGUAUAUGCAUGGUGUUAGUUGGUGGUAAAAAAAAGUUGGUCAUUAUACUUACAACAACACAUGGCUCGACAAUGUACCGCUUAACCUUCAUCAGUCUUUUACUCACAUCAUUAUUCAAUAACCUUGCAUACAUAUCAACGACCUAAAAGAGGGGUGAGUAUAACAAUAAAAUAUUUUAGCAUUCCAAAAGGUGAGACUAUCUCCACAAUUACAGCAGUUAACUUAGUCAAAUAAAAUAAUUUUCCUUUUCUCGUGGCUUACCCUAUCUGAUACCCAAUGCUUCUCCCGCAAGGAUUGCAUAUCUCUUCGGUUAAGGCUAAAUUCGAACAUAGACACUAAUAUCUCACUACAUUGAACAUUGAGUCAACAAUGUUAAGUUCAAUUAUAAAUGAAUAUCAAUAAAAAUAACAUAUUACUUCGAAUAUUAUUGCAUAAAAAAAGAUUUUACCUCUCAUCUCCCGCGUCUUGCCAUGUGAAAUUCGCAAUCUUCCGGCUACAUUGUGUCAAAGUAGCCUGGAUUUGGAGCUGAUAAUCAGUAGACCUGAUCAGGGUGUUGUGCCUUGUCGUCCGCAAUGUCUUGUGCAUUCGGCCAUCUUCCGCAUCUAUAUUAAGUCAAGAAUAGCAAAUGUUUUUGUAAUGAUCAAUUUUUAUAUCAUUUACAAAGUGCAAUAACAAAUGAAAGCAGAAUUUUAGCUACAACAUAUAUAACUUGCCUUCGCACUCUCUGUUUUUAUAUCUAGACCGACCUUUCCAUUGUGUUACAGCACAUAGCGAAUGUUGCUCUACUGCAGCUCCUGAUGGGGAAGUUAGACCUGCAUCCAAGCAAUGAACUUCUGCAAUUGCCUUGGCAUCAUCUUUUCCUUCUUUAUCUUCGGGUUCACUUGCCUCAUUUUCACCAAAAUCGUCAUUCCUAUCCCCAAAACAUGUCUCGUCUUGGUUGUUUUCAUAUUCAAAUUUGUCCGUAUCAGAAUCUAUAACAACCUUUGCCUUCUCAUCAUUGAUCAUUCGCUUUUUUGCCCAUUUUCUUGUGGAUCUAACGGCUGCCUGGGAACAUGAUGGCAUGGCACUACGUUGCGAGCAAAGGAUACUGGAUAUAUGCAUUACACUUUGUUGACACUCGAUUGCUAUCCGCUCAGCAGUUGCUGCUUUUGUAUAUAGAGUGGCUAGAUGAACCUGAAUAUAAAAAAAUAAAUGCAAUUAAUCCUCAUAUUCGUACAACUUCAGACAUAUUUGCAUUGUAUUAGAUUUAAUUUGUUAUCUUACAGCAAUUUCUCCAUGUCCAUUAUUCACCAUAUGGCUAAUCACAUCCGGUGGAAGCUCAGUAGGUUCCUCUUCCUCAUUUUCUUCUCUGUUCGUUUUGUUUGACCCUACCUUUGUGGACUAAAAAGUAUGUUGUAAGUUUCGCAAAGCAGUUAGCCGUAUAAUAUAAUGUCUUGCUAACUCAAAUUCCAAAAAUAUCAUUGUUUCAGUAAUACUUACUAGCUUUCCUUUGCCAAAUUUUCCAAGACCACCCAAUUCUAGUGUUUCUCUUUCCAUUAUAUUGGCAUUAGUCCAUGCUUUUGCUACAGGACAGGUCCUAUGAACACAAUGAUUGAGUAUACUUACUCGAUCAUAAUAAUGUAGCUGCAAAAUAAUAACAACUUAUCCUUGUUAGAUACAAUGAACAAAUAUAAGUUAAGAUCAUCCACUAGUUGAGAUUUCUUAACUUACCAGCAAAAAUAGGAUGCAACCUCCAACAUUUUUGUGGGCAUUGCUUUGCAUAUUCAACAAUUUUUUGCACAAAUCAGCUCUGACAAACUCAGCCCAAUUGAAUUUUGCUAUUUCUGAAGUUGAUUGUAAACUCUCCCAUAAAUUGGCUUUAAUUUCAGCUCGUGUUGUUGGAGCAAGCAAGCAGCCACAUGCAAAAAUAACAAAUAAUCUCUUGAAUUCAUCCCCGACCUCCAUGGAUAUUAGCUCAUCUUCUAUAUCAUGCCAAUUAUACUUCUUCUUCCUACGAUAAUGUGGUUCGCUAUCAAUUCCAUCAUCUCCAGUAUCUUCAACCGGCACUGGCCCCUCACCUGGAAUUCCAAGAGCCUUUGCUAUAUCUUCUGACGUUACAGGCAGUACACGUCCACCUUCAAGUUGUAUGUAUGAGUGAGUUGGAUUGAAAUUAUUCACCAACCACAUGCAUAUUAUACUUGGAAGGUUGUGGCAUUGGAUCUCCAGCAAUCCACCAAAACUUAUUUCUUUGAUUGCAGCUAUUUUCUCCCCAUCAAUACGCCCCACAAACCUUAAAAAUUUAGUUGGUGUGCACCUAAACCUGUAUGCCUAUAAAAACAAUAUAACAAUGUUGAUAAAAUUUACCAAAUAACACUCCAAUACUUGCACUUGCGCUUUGAAACUUCUAAAUCAUUUAAUUUAAAAACAAUAAAAUUGUAUGCUACGUCCUUACUUGUUUUGCUACAUCACUCUUUAUGCUUUCUCCCCUGUCGGCUAUAGACUCCUUGUAGCUUUUCAUCAGCUCCUUAUAUUUUUUCAUAUUUUUUUCAUUCUUCCAUACAAGCUUCUCCUCAUCACGCAAUUUAUUCCAUGCAUUUCUCGAGGCUAUGUUUAGCUCCUGCAUUGUUAAUGCCUUUCCCUUUGCUUUUUCCUUGCGUGCGAAGUCAAUCCUACCAACAUUUAAUAUGAUUAGAUCCUAUACAUAGACUUUUGAUUUUAUCAUGAGUUUUUUAACUAAUUCAAAGCCCCUAAUGUACACAAUAAUGCUUCUAUAAAGUCAUAUAUACCUGUAUGCAAUGAAAUCAGUUGGUGGCCUCAUCGGCUUUACUGGAUUCUUGUCAUGAAGUUCCUCAACCUGCUUGCCUUUAUCUUUUGUAACAUUCAUCUUCUUGGUUCCCCGAGGUCCCAUUUCAAACUGCACCAAAAUAAAUGACAUGAAAAAAACAUAAGGGAUAAUUUCAAUAUCCUAUCCCUUGAGGUUUCUUCACAGAAGUGUAUUAACACACUUCUGUUGUUACAAAUGUACAAGAGGUUUACAUAAAGUUACAAAAUGUUCAAAAUGAACUUCUUCAGAAAGAAGAAAGGUUGAGAAUUCCAAAAUAUUAUAAUACAUCUUUGCUGGAUAAAUAUUAAUUAAACAUUAUUUACACCAGGGUAACAUUAUGAAUUUCCUCUGCAGAAAGAAUAUAAAAUACACUUACAUAUUUCCAAUUUCAAUCAUACAACUUAGGAGAGAUAAUGUAUUCCAAAAAUAAUUGUCUGAGUUUUGAUUUUUUUUCACAACACACUAAAUAGUCUGAAAAACAGCCUCCAAUGUUGACAAAAGUAAAAGCUGUUUUUAACUUAAUUAUGGCAUUUAAAUUUAUUUAGUUCGAAGACACGUAUAUGUAUAAAAAUAUAGUGUUAUUCUUCUUAGUUGAUAGUUCAUUACUAGGAAAUGAAAAUUCAAAACUCAAUAUGUAAUGCAACACUUAACUCCAAAAAAAUAAUAAAAUAAAAAUCAUACCUCAAAUUUUGGUAUGUUCCUCCUUGUUCCACCUUCAAAUGCAAGUACAGGCAAAAAUGCCAAGGUUGGUCCUUUAAUGUCCACAAGAAAGUUCUGCCAUGACAGUUAUGGUCAAAAACUAAGUGCUUAAAGCGGACAAGUAACAGUGAGGCCAUCAAAUGUAUACAUGCAUCUAAAGUUUGUAUACCUGUAUGAUUGUGUUUUAGUAGAUACAAGUUGUGGAAUCAUACCAUGUUAUAGAUAUACAAGCGUCACUAGUUAUGGUCUCAAGAAAUGAUAUGGACACGGCACCCUCUUAUUUAUCAGAUUGUUUCUCUAGAUGUUUGUAGAAGCAAAAUUUUUCUAAUUGUGAUCAUAAUAUGUGGCAGGAAACCAGGAGAAAAAUCUUUCAGGAAAGAGGAAAUAAACAGAAUUGCCUGAUGAUUAUGAACCUAAAACUGGAUGUGUUUUGGCUCAUUAGCUUAUUUUCUCAUAAAACAAAACUUCUACAACAAGUUUAGGGAAGAGAGGAAAGAGUAAAUUUCACUGACAAGAUAAAUGCAGGUUUAAUAAAAGCCAAACAAAAGAAAUAUGGAGUGCUUACAUCUGAUCUAGAAUCUAACACAAUCCCAAGAACUGUAUCUCCAGCGCACGGUACAUACUGCAAAAAAGAGUGCUCAAAUGAAAUUCAAAAUGUUUUUAUGAUAAACACAAGAAAGUGUUCUUAGACAAGAAUCUAAAAGCAAACAGUUUCUUAAAUUGAACAUCAUAUCUUGUCUUGGUAAUAGUAAAAUUAAGUGGAAAGUUAAAGAUUCAAGAGCGCCAUCCUUUAGUAUUUGUAUUCUACAAAUAAACUGUCAGCUGAAAAUCUCAUACCAAGCACUUGUAGAUAUCAUUUAGAAAAUAAAAAGGCAAGUACAAAAAGUGGAUGGAAAAAGAAAAAAGGAAACACUAAGAACAUUGAGUUCAUUAGCAAUGACUUCUUCAGUGGGAUAGCCACUGGGGGUAAAACUAGAGACAUCAAACUCUGACACUAGACAUAUAGCUAGUUUACCAACUUAAGAACCCAAUUAUCAGCUAAGACAUUAGAUGGAUCAUCUUCACUAAAUGCAACCAUUAUCAUAGUGCAUUAUGAACCAGAACACACUUAUAAAGAAGAGAAAGGGAUUGCAAUGAUUGCCAAAAAAAAAAAAACUUACAAUUAGCUUGAACAGAAUAUAAUGCAAAACUGAACAAAACAGGAUCAUAUUUUUGUUGACAGUUUCUCAUCUUUUCCUUUCGUUCUUCUAAUAUUGCAGGUUUUCUUUGGACUGAUUACUAGAUUUUCAAUAAUUUCGUAAUUAAAUAAAUUCAUUAAAAUUGAAAUUAAACCACAACAACUUAGGUAGCGAAAAAUUGACAUUAAAAAUUGAAAAAUGCAAUCAACAUAAUUGAGAGGGGUAAAGAAAAACCCUAGUGAAGACGGAGACAUUACAGAGAAAUUACUAGUUUGUUACAAGAUAAAAAUAAAAAAUCAGGAAGAAGACAUUACGAACAUGUAAUUUCUCUUUAACAACGAAAUUAUUACUAAUUACGAACUAGUAACAACGAAAUUACUAGUUCGUAAUCUAGUAACAACGAAAUUACGAACUAGUAACAACGAAAUUACGAACUAGUAACAACGAAAUUACUAGUUCAUAAUCUAGUAACAAUGAAAUUACAGAGACAUUACGAACCUCCUCAAAAGGUUUGUAAGCAGGAAGAAGACACAAAAAAUAAGUACUAAACUAACUAAGCUUGCAACCUAAAGAAGAAAAAUAAAAAAGAUAACUUUUUCACAAGUAUAAUUUUAACAAUUUUGUCCUGCCAGCUGAGCUACCCAGCUCGAAAUAAACUAAGCUCCAAAAUUUCUUCAAUCCAUCCCACGAAAACUAAUGUGAAACUUCAAGACUCACCAAAAUAAGAAAUUAACUCAAAAAUCCCAGAAAAUUUUGACCCCAAUGAAUUAAAAAAAAUGUCAAAAAAUGAAGAGUAUCAAUGUUGCGGAUAAACAUUACAAGGGCAACAUAGGAGCAGAGAGUGUAAAAGAUCCCAUCUUGCCUUAGAUUAUGCAGUUUCUCGUCCUCCAAAAAACACCGUGGGUCUUCUUUAAGAGGAAUUCAGGCAGUUGUUUUGGAAAUUAGCAGACAAUGGAAGUGAAAUGAGAGUGAUUUUGUGGAGUGAAAUGGCAGUUCUUUUGUGGAGUGAUCUUUUGCAUUAGCAGAGGGAAAAGGGUUUGGGAAAUGGGGAAAGUGAAAUGGGGAUUUCUGAUACAAAAGGAACUUUUCAUUAAUAAUUUGGGCGGGAUAAAUUUGACGCCGUUUGACGAUGAUGCUCCAUCCGUUUCUAUAAUUUUUAUUUUUUUAUUUGCCACUGAAGAAAACGACGCCGUUUUCUUCAGCUGAUAUAACUUUGGGACGUGUCUUUGUUUUGGCCGUUGAUGAUGGACCAAAACAUCUUGGCCAUGAAAAGUUUAUGAGCGGUUGUUAGACAACCGCUUGUAAACUUUUCAUGGCCAAGAUGUGGUGGGCCCAUCAUCAACGGCCAAAACGAAAUCGAACAAAAUGGAGAUGAGUGUAGAGGAUUGUUGCUUCAAUACAAGCUUAACUUUUAACUCCGUUUGGUCUGGCCGUUAAGGGUAUGAAAAAUUCAAAAUCAAAAUUUGAAAAUCAACUUUUGGUACGAUCGGCGGGCUUUAAAACUCUUUCAACUUAAAAGAUGUGGGAAGAAAAUGGCGGUAAUGGAUUUUCUCUGAACACAAUACAUUGUCGUUGUAGCUCCUUUUGUUCUUCUUCUCUCAACAAGCUCCUUCUGUUCUUCUCCUCUCAACAAAUUAUUUUGCAUAACAUAGACAUAAAUUUUUGUCUUCUUUAGCUGGCCAUUUUGUGACUCCAACGGGUUUAAAAAAACGAAGUGGCGGAAAAACUAAGAAAGUAUUGCGUAGUUGGGUGGACAGGUUUCAUAGGCAAAAGAAGAACUCUAAAUCGUCUGAGGCAAGCACUCCUGAGAUGGUUAGUACCGAAUCUUAUUUUUGGACUUACAUAGCUAUAUCAUUUCAAUUGACUCUACUAUCAUAAGCCGACUGAGUUGUUGUAUAUUCUUCUCUUGUCAGUCAUCAGAAUCCUAUCAACCUAUCCAAAGCCAAACAUCAAGCAACUGUUUGUCAUCGAAUAAUCUGUGGUAGUAAGUAGUUAUUUUUAUACUUUACAUAAUGUGCAUUAUAGUUCACUGUUCGUUAUUUAGGUGUUACAGAUUAAUGUUUUACUUGUACACAUUGAUUAUGAAGGUGUACAUAUUAGUGAUAGGAUAUUCAUCACAUAUUAUUUAUUUUUGACACAAUAAUAUCAUAUUUUGUACAUAUUAGUUGGUACACAUUACGGCGAUCUCUUAAUUUAAUAGCAUUUACAUGUUGUUGUUUUAUGUGUACAAACUGAUAUAUAUGGUGUACGCAUUGAUUGAUACCAUGUACCACUGAUUAUUUUGUUUUGAAAUAUCGUUAUUGCAUUUGGACACAUGAUUACACAUUUGGAUAAAAUUUUUUACAAAUUAUUAAUUUAUUUGCUCACAUUUAUUUUUUCAAUCGUACAAGUUACAAUUAUUUAUCACCCGUUGUUUAGUUUUAACAUCGUGUUAUUAUUCUGGUACACGGUGUAUAUUAGUUAGUACACAGUACGGAGAUCUCUUCAUUUAAUAACAUUUACAUGUUGUUAUUUUAUAUGUACAAACUGAUAUAUAUGUUGUAUGCAUCGAUUGAUAUCAUGUACCACUGGUUACUUUGUUUUGAAAUAUGAAUAAUUCCAUUUGGACACAUGAUUAUACAUUUGGAUAAAAAAUUUUACACAUUAUUAAUUUAUUUGCUCACAUUUAUUUUUUCAAUCAUACAAGUUACAAUUAUUUAUCACCGGUUGUUUAGUUUUAAUAUCGUGUUAUUAUUCUGGUACACAGUACGGAGAUCUCUUGAUUUAAUAGCAUUUACAUGUUGUUUUAUGUGUACAAACUGAUAUAUAUGUUGUACGCAUUGAUUGAUAUCAUGUACCACUGGUUACUUUGUUUUGAAAUAUGAAUAAUUUCAUUUGGACACAUGAUUACACAUUUGGAUAAAUUUUUUUACAUAUCAUUAAUUUAUUUGCUCACAUUUAUUUUUUCAAUCGUACAAGUUACAAUUAUUUAUCACCCGUUGUUUAGUUUUAACAUCGUGUUAUUAUUCUGGUACAUGGUGUAUUUUAUCUUGUACACUACAAACCAUAUCAUUUGAAACCUAUUGCAUAGUUACUUCAAUUUAAUGCAUUAGUUAUGUCUUAUAUUUAUAAUAGCCCAUAAGUUUGUAGUAUAACUUUACAAUGUAUUCAUUUAUGGUCACGUAUGUACUGAAUUUUGAUUUUUGUUUAGAUUACUUUUGGUUGAUUUUUAUUUACAUAUUGUUAAUUCAGUUGAACACAUUGUUAUAUAUUAUGUACACAUUUACAUCAUAAUUUUCGUACGACCUAACAUCUUAAAUUUUGGACACAAUGUGUAUUUAAUUUUUACAAAUUGGUUAGUUUGCUAUUAUACACAGUGUUAGCAUGACUUUGCAACUAAUGUAAUGUGCUACUUGUGAUAAUAGUCAUUCAGUGAAUCAAAUUUUGGAUCAUCCCCAGUUAUUCACUCAGAUAUGCAGUCUUGUAGGAUGGUAAGUCAGAUAUUGCACUUGUGUGGAUAAUCAAGAUUUUGGACAAAUUUACAGUAUCUUAUUUAGUACAAUACUUAAUGGUAGCCCGGUGAAGUUGGAAUCACUCCUCAAAUACUGAGUGCUCAUAAUAUCCGUAUUCAAGAUCGUAACAAUCUCCCACUUUUGCUUCCCAACGAUCCUGUGAGCAAGACAAAGUACACAAGUUUCACCGAAUUCUUAAUGAUCAGUAAUUCUUUAAAAAGCUCAUUAUUUACAGUUAUUAUUUAGAGCUAUUCUAACCUUGUUACAAGACUAUUGUAGGGCAUGCUUUUAUGAACACUGAACUUUUGAUUUAAAUAAUUUAUUGCUUGUUUCAAUUAUUGUCAGACCCCCAUUGUGGCCUCUGUGGAAAGGUCAAAGAGCAGGACUCUCAUGCAAUUAAGCGAUGAAGAAGUGCAACUACCUACGAUAUAAAUGGGUAGAAGCUAAUUGCCUUCCAUGAAUAUGUAUGCUAAACUGAUGUAUCUUGUGACCCUUUUGGAACUGGAUUGGAACAAUGUAAUACUAAAAUGAUUGUUUUACUUUUAUAUUAGAUAGUAGUUUGAGAAUUGCAAUCAA